rnacentral:lncRNA from 1 species
CGUGAGAGGAUUGGCUUAUGUGGAGGAGUGAGAAAAUGCUGAAUAUGGAAAAUGAAGGAAUGGAAGUGUGAGAUGGAAGGUGGCCAGAAGAGAUCCUUUGGUAUUCUCUAGCCUUGACUUUCAAGGUAGAAUUGCUCUGGAGUGUUCUCAACAGAAAAACAAUUCAAUUAUCUCAAAAGUGAUUGCAAUAAGUGUAGGCAUGACUAUUUAUAGGACUAGAAGUCCCACAUGCCUAAAGACAUUGGGCUUGGGCCCCGCGUAUCAGGUCCAUUCUGGUGCUCAGCGGUUCACUUGACCCUUCUUUUCAUCCUUUUUUCUUCCUCUUUCACGGGUCUAAGUCCAC